AAAAGAGUCUUUUUAUUUUGUCACUCACAACUUCACACGUAGCUCUUGCCUGAUGCCCCGGUUCCCUUUCUCCUUUCCUUGGUCUCUCCGUUCACUCCAAAAUUAUUGACACUAAAUCAGGCCCGGCUUGUACCACUGGCAUCCCCGCAGCUCGACUCGCAGGUGCGGCAACAUGGUGACCGUCUUUGACGGCUGGUUUGGCUCGUACGCCUCCUCUGUGUCCUUGGUUUGUUAGCGGCGAUGGAUCAUGGAUGUAUAGCAGGGCCCGAGUAGCAGCUCCAAUGGAGGAGGCGAGAUCGUUGAUCUGCACGGUGUCGUCGCUGUCAGCAUCCGUGUAGGGGAUCCUUGGUCGUGGAUCUCGACUCGCACAGCCAGCGUGGAUUCAGCUUUUGUAUGAGGAUAUUUGGUCCACUGUCUUCCUCAACCGUGCAAGCCAGACUUCGUCGUUGUUCCCACUCGAGGAAUCCCGACAUCUCGUCGUCUUCCUCCACAGCGGCAACAUGCUUCGACCUACAGUAACAUGGUCUUAACUCUAAAAGCUGCUGACCUGAAGACAUCAUUUAACCAAGCUGUGUUGAUCUAUCCGUUUGGUGCCACCACUACACUGGGAAAGAUCACCUGGCCAUCGGCAGCAUUACUUUUCAUUUUAAAUUGUAUUGCUUAAGUUGCUUCCCUUGCCCACUUUAUAUAAAAUUGGAACAAAAUGCAAUCACAUUCUGUUUUCGGCUGGUGAGCGCACACUUGUACAUGUAAAUUAAUACAUUAAGAAUUCAUCUAUCCAAUUCCUGGUAUAUACAUCCUGUAACAAAGCUGAAUUAGUAAUCAACUGAUACAAAGGCAGCAAGAAUAACUUGGGGC